rnacentral:lncRNA from 1 species
UACACAGCAUGGGGGGAAAAAACACAUAAGUUAAAAAACAUGUAGUUCCAAAACACACUGUUAAAGUUAGGAAAUAAUUAGGGAUUAUUUCAAGUAAAAACUAUUAAAAGAGCAAUAGUCAACCACAAGGGGGCAUAUAUAUUCCUUAGAUCCCAGCAGAAAGACUAAUUUAAGUAGUAACAUGCACUCUGAUGUAUUAUACAUUUUCAGUUAAGAUUUUCUCUCACAUGGCUACAACUUUUUAAAAUUCAAGGUUUAUUUUAAACCUAACGAAAUAGAUUCCAGAAUACUCUUGCCCUGAAAAGUAAGUGUUUCAGAAGCCCCUGGAAAUGUUGUUAACUNNNNNNNNNNNNNNNNNNNNNUUAGUCCUAAUAUGUAUUAGAACAGACAAAUAAUAGGAAAAUAUGGUCUAAAACGGUAGCAAAUUUUAGGUUAUCCCAAAUGGAAGACAGGGAAAGUUUAUCCAAAUAAAAGGACAAACUAUCAGAAUAGCAAAAAUAAGAGGGUGGGGGGAAUUGCUGUGUCUGUGCCACAAUAUCCCUGCCCUCUUUCCCCAUGACUGAAGUAUGUGUAGCCCACACCAGCAACGGAACACUUCACCAGGAGGUCACGGCCUGUGGGGCUGGCCUGCCUCAUCAGCCAUGUUAAGAAUAUAGUUAGCCAUAUCAUCUUCAGUGGGUGCAUCUGACACUACCCAAGAUUCAUUCGCUCCAGUCAUCUGUAGGCGACAGAUAGGGCAAUUCCUGUGCCGAUCACUCCUAUUAGAGAAAUAAAAUAAAGAAUAGUUUGUUUUCUUUUUCUGUUUAAAACAAUGAAUUUGAAAUGUAAUACAUGUACUUUUUUAAAAAAGGAAAUAGCAUAAAAGUGUAUAGUGAAAAAUACAUCUCUUCCUCCUACCCUAAUCUUUAUUAUCCCUGGAGGCAACUGCUGUUAACCAGUUUCUUACAUAUUCUUCAGUUUUUUAUAUAUUCUUCUAGAGACAGAUUAGCCAUGACCAGCUUGUGUGUGUCUACACAUCACUGCUCUUUUUUACAAGUAUCAGCACAUGUUAGAGCUGCCUAUUCAAAAUACACUGUUUGGAUAGGCUAUAAUUCAUUUAACUUAUCUCCCGUUGAAGGAAGGACAUCUAGAUUUUUUCCUAUCUUUUGCUGCUAUAAACAAUGGAAUGGAAGCAUUCAGAGCUUAAAAUAA